CGCGGGAUAGAGCAGUCUGGUAGCUCAUCUGGCUCAUAACCAGGAGGUCGUCAGUUCAAAUCUGACUCCCGCAACCA
rnacentral:tRNA from 2 species